rnacentral:piRNA from 1 species
UCCAUGUAUAUCUGCACACCAGAAG